UCACGCGGCCGGUGUUGACACUUCCGGGUGGGACCACAGUGAGGCGGCGGGGCAGGGGCUGGCACCUCCCGCAGCAACCAUGGCGUAUACCGGCCUCACCGUGCCUCUCAUCGUGAUGAGCGUGUUCUGGGGCUUCGUCGGCUUCCUGGUGCCCUGGUUCAUCCCUAAGGGUCCCAACCGGGGAGUUAUCAUCACCAUGUUGGUGACCUGUUCCGUCUGCUGCUAUCUCUUUUGGCUGAUUGCAAUUCUGGCCCAACUCAACCCUCUCUUUGGACCGCAGUUGAAAAAUGAAACCAUCUGGUACCUCAAGCAUCAUUGGCCUUGAGUAAGAAGACCUGCUCGCCAGUGCCCAGUCAUUGAGUUGAGCCUGUUAUGUCACUUGUGUCUGCCUCUCUACUCUGUUCCUCUGUCGGGGACCCUACUAUCUGACCCAGUCACUGCGGCUCUGAAUUACUGCAGUGGCUCCUCAUCACGUCUGCCUGCCUCUACACUCAAGUAGCACAUAUGGCUUUAUUUAUAAAGACGUUAUACAAUAAGCUUUGCGUGAAGGAGUUAUGCGACCGCUGUUAGCAGUCUGAUGUGUGAAGAUACCUAUUUUAAAUGUUUGCCAGCUCUGCAAAGGUGGUGUUGCAGCUUUAAGCUUCUAGAAGAAGAAAUUCUCAUUUGUCACCUACACUUGGGGUGGCAAGAACGGUCAUGAAGAGAACUCCUCUAGAUGCAAAAUCACCUCCAUAGCCAGACCACCUUCCUUGACUCGCCCACUUUGGCUGUCAGCUGCCUUAAACGUUCCCACCACAUUUGAAUAUCUUAUUCUACAAUGCAGUAUUUUUUCCUGUCACCUUUUUUACACUUUGAUGAAUGAUGUGCCUAUUGAAUCUAAACUGUGCUGCCUCUAUAAAAUGUUUAUGUACUGUUCGGAGAUAGAAAGUGCUGUUCUUCUGAGAAAUAACAUUUCUCUCUCCUUGGAAACUGUGGAUUUGAAGAUGGCUCCUGCCUGCUCACAACAUGAGAAUCAGCGAAGUGUUUAAAAACUGUUACAUGACAGUAAGACUCCAGUGGGGCAGUCAGUAGGAGAACAUGUUCAGAGGGGAAAUCUGUCCCACCAGAAUUAUACCAAAGUAUAUUUUCAGGAUGAAUUUCUUAUUUCUGCCCUCCUUUGGAAUAAAUUAUUUUUCUGCUCUC